rnacentral:rRNA from 1 species
CAUAGAGGGUGAGAAUCCCGUAUUUGGUUAUUCUUUCUAGCUUUGUGAUACACUUUCAAAGAGUCGGAUUGUUUGGGAAUGCAGUCCAAAAUGGGUGGUAAAUUUCAUCUAAAGCUAAAUAUUGGCGAGAGACCGAUAGCGAACAAGUACCGUGAGGGAAAGAUGAAAAGAACUUUGAAAAGAGAGUUAAACAGUACGUGAAAUUGUCAAAAGGGAAGCGUUUGACACCAGUGUUGUUUUUCCGAAAAUCAAUUACGAAUGGCUUGAUUUUGUGUUGUAUUGACCUUAUCAGCUUUCUUCACUCUUUUUCGAGUCUUUCUUAAUGCACUUUUCGGUUAACAAGUCAACAUCAAUUUCUUUUGUUGUAAAAGGGUAUUUGGAAGGUGGCUUUCUUUCCGGAGAAAGUGUUUAUAGCCUUAUACCUCUACAAUCGGAGAGAUUGAGGUCUGCAGCGUAGAUCCUUCGGGGCUAGAUACACUUGUGCUAAGUUAUAGCUUUUCAUAGACAACUUGUUGACUAUGUUUAGUCAUGUAGCUUACCCGCUUGUGCUAUUUUACCUACGCUUAGGAUGUUGAA